rnacentral:rRNA from 1 species
AUUGAACGCUGGCGGCAGGCCUAACACAUGCAAGUCGAACGAGUGGCGGACGGGUGAGUAAUGUCUGGGAAACUGCCUGAUGGAGGGGGAUAACUACUGGAAACGGUAGCUAAUACCGCAUACCAUCGGAUGUGCCCAGAUGGGAUUAGCUAGUAGGUGGGGUAACGGCACACCUAGGCGACGAUCCCUAGCUGGUCUGAGAGGAUGACCGGCCACACAGGAACAGAGACACGGUCAAGACUGGUACGGGAGGAAGGGGUGGGAGAGAUUGCAGAAUGGGCGCAAGCCAGAUGCAGCCGUGCGGAGUGGAUGAAGAGGGCCUUCGGGUAGUAAGACACUUUCAGCGGGGAGGCGUUACCCGCAGAUGAAGCACCGGCCAACUCCGGGCCAGCCACCGCGGUAAUUC